UGCUCAGCAGACCCCACCUGAAAGUUUAAAGCAGAAUUUGGGCUGCAAGCAGGCUAGGUAUUAGUUGAUAAUGCUGCACUUAACCCAUUGAGUGGAAAGAGUGCCAGCACUUGUGUGGUGAGUAAAAUAAUGCACCUCGAGUGAUGGGAGCAAAUAGAUUAGGACACUUUCAAUAUAAAAAAGAGAGAACACCCAUAAUUUUGCCUUCUGGAAUUCCAUGCUGAAAAGUGGCACUAGAAAAUAUGUUGACGAGAAUGGUGGAGCCAUGGCCUAGAACUUAUAACUUACUGUUCUAACACCAUUAACACACCAUUAAUAGAGUCCAAAUCAGUUGUCACUAUAUUUGUCCUUAUCAUGCUCACUCGUGCUCCUAUUUAAGGCUGCAAUAUAUAGGUACAUGGCUUCAAAGCAAUCCCAAGAGACCAACCCAUCGAGGUGUAGCCAGUAUUUUUGUCAGGGGGGCACACAAACUUAGGUUGGGCCAGGCUUCACUUAUUUUUAUAGAAUGAAUUUUCUUAGAGCAUUUUACCAGGGGGUGCCCUGGCUAUGCUGCUGCGAAAAUGAAGGCAGACUGAGGGGGGGGGGGUGAAUAGGUUUUCAGAAUGUCGGAUUUCACAGAAAAAAUAGUUCGGAUCUGGCGAAUAUUUUACACAGAUUUGCGGAUCUUAUUAAUACAGCGGAUUGUGGUUUAUCUAAUAUUUUGGC